rnacentral:rRNA from 1 species
GACGGAGGAUGCAAGCGUUAUCCGGAAUUAUUGGGCGUAAAGCGUCCGCAGGUGGACAUACAAGUCUGCUGUCAAAGCGCAGAGCUUAACUCUGUAAAGGCGGUGGAAACUGUAGGUCUUGAGUAUGGUAGGGGUAGAGGGAAUUCCCGGUGUAGCGGUGAAAUGCGUAGAUAUCGGGAAGAACACCAGUGGCGAAAGCGCUCUACUGGGCCAUAACUGACACUGAGGGACGAAAGCUAGGGGAGCGAAAGGG